AACGAACGCUGGCGGCAGGCCUAACACAUGCAAGUCGAGCGAGGACUUCGGUCCUAGCGGCGGACGGGUGAGUAACGCGUGGGAACGUGCCCUUUGCUUCGGAAUAGCCCUGGGAAACUGGGAGUAAUACCGGAUGAGCCCUUUGGGGGAAAGAUUUAUCGGCGAAGGAUCGGCCCGCGUUGGAUUAGGUAGUUGGUUGGGUAAUGGCCUACCAAGCCGACGAUCCAUAGCUGGUUUGAGAGGAUGAUCAGCCACACUGGGACUGAGACACGGCCCAGACUCCUACGGGAGGCAGCAGUGGGGAAUCUUAGACAAUGGGGGAAACCAUGAUCUAGCCAUGCCGCGUGAGCGAUGAAGGCCUUAGGGUUGUAAAGCUCUUUCAGCUGGGAAGAUAAUGACGGUACCAGCAGAAGAAGCCCCGGCUAACUCCGUG
rnacentral:rRNA from 1 species